CCCACAGCUCCGCGGGCGCGCGUGGCCAACCGGCGGGGUCGCGGAGCGCAACCCCAGCAGUGCACGAAAGCGGCCGCCAGGGUGGCGGUCCUUCGGGGCGCAGACCUAGGAGGCGAAGCGCGUUCCUCUCAGCCUCUAAAGUUCUCAGUUCUAAAGUGAAUCAAAAUGUCAGUGAUCUAGGACAUGUCCAGCCAUGAACGCUGCCUAGCAACACAUUUCAUAUAUAUGAAAGUGUGUGCGUACGUGUGUGUGACAAUAUCACUGUGAAAUCUGAAAUUCAACAUCCUCCUGAGUGAUAUGAUUACAUCUGUGAGCCACUACUUCCAACCUGAGCUCUCUCCACAUACCUCACAGCCUCCAAGUCAAGACGAAGGUAUUCCAUGCCAUAGAGACUUGGAAACAAAGGGAUUCAGAGGCACCAACCAUGUCACUUUCCUUGUGAAGACAAGCAUCCAUGAACCUAGAUUUGGCAGUGACAACAGAUUAAAGAAGUGAUUCUACCCAAGUCUACCUUAGUAAGCCAGUGAGUGUAUUGGAGUUACUUGGAAGAAUGUGGGUGAGAUGUCACUCACAGGAGGAGCCUGGAUAACUCAAAGGCAGCAGUGUCAUUGAAAACCCCAACAAGCAUGGAACUCAUGGAAGCUUCAUCCGUGGAUCACACUCUUCCCGGGGAGAUGUGAACAAGCAUCUACUCAGCCCAGAUAGGGAAAUGAUGGAAGACUGAAGUACCGACACCACCCAGUUCAACCUGGUGAACCAGAUGAGAAGGUCGAUGGAGAGCAAGUCUCAGGAAGGACAUCAAAUACUUCGGCCUAAGUGAAUGUAUACAUUUGUAAGAAGGAAGCUAAACUGUGGUGGCCAAAGGAUGGACUCACUGCUGUGAUGCACAGUGAGCACAGGCCAAGGCACUGGAACAAACACGCAGCUCACCAGCCGCUCCUCUACCUCACACUCAUUUAUGUUCCCUUUGGAUGGCCAACAAUCAAAGCUCAUCAACACCAUGAACUGGCCAAGGUAGACAUGGCCCAUGGUUAGAAGGGGAAGAAGCCACCUGGUCCCAAAUAAAUAUGUUUACGUUUAGCUCCAAGAAAGCUGAAAGGAAAGGGUCGGUUUACUCUUACACAGCUCUCCUCACGGGUGUGUUAAUGAUUAGUAAAGCUGUGGCAGUUUUAAUCAUUAUAUUACAUUACGAGGACCAGCGUGUCUAGUUUUGUUUCUCCCACAUAAACAUUAGUAGUGAGUGAUCACUGCAGAUCGCAAAACCAUGUAGUAGGAAUAUGAUAUAGGAGGGAUAAUAGAGGUUUGAGGUGAUUAAUAUUAAAGUGAAUGCUUAUAUUAAGUAGCAUAAUAAUAUAAUAAAUAAGAUUAAUAUGAAAAGAUGGUGCUUUGUUAUAAACAUAGACAUAAACCGUUUAUGUAACAGCUCAGUGAAGGUAUUUAGUGAGAGGAGAUGCACCAACAUGGUAGCAUCGUUGUUGUCUUCCUUUUAUAGAAGCAGAAACUGAGAGGCAAAGGUCAAUGAAAAUUGCACAACCAGGAAGCAAGGACUCUCUCAGAAGUCUCUCCCCGCACCUGAACCUUGCCAACAUUUACAAGAAAGCAUUCAAAUAAGCUGUAUUCUAAAGUAGCUUACACAGCAGUAGGCUUUGCUUGUAGGACAAACUUAUAAUGCUCCAAAUCUUCAUGCAUCAUUUCGCUCAUGCUUACUGAGUGCUUAUGAAUACUAGCAUAGUGGACCACUCCUCGAGAAACUGGACAAAUGGACAAAAACCCCUCUCCUGGUGUCCAGGAAAGCUGGUGACAUCUUUCAAUUUCAUUCAGUGAUCACAGAGUUAAAAUUAAAUUAAUUCUGUCCUCACUGUAUAUAAAAAAUAAAAUAUCCUGACAGAAAGUGGUCUGUGGCAGAAGCUCCCAGUACAGAUUGCUGCAGCUACCCUUCUAGGGAAGUUAUUAUACUGAACCUUGGGUAAAAUCUACAGUGGAAAAUGGCAAUCCAUGUGUGGAGGGCCCUUAUUAUUUGUAGGGUUUUUGUUUUGUUUUGUUUUGUUUGUCUUAUACCCAACUGACCUUUCAAGAUUCUAAAUAAGUAUUGUCAUUCAUAAAAGCAGUGAGUGAUACUGAACACCUUGUUGGUCAUUUCUGUUUCCAUUUCCUCACAAUAGCAUUGUCUAACAUCACUUGACUUUCUAUGACCCUAAGUAGAAAAUAUCGUGUUAGGAGAAAGCUAUUCUACUUAGCACAUCCUGCUUCCCAACCACCCACAGGAAGGGAAUACAGAAAAACCUGAAAGUCAGUUAUUCAGAAUAAGCAGCCAUCCUGGUCCCCUG